rnacentral:tRNA from 1 species
GCAGCAGUAGUUCGGUGGUAGAAUUCUCACCUUCCAUGUGAGAGGCCUGGGUUUGAUUCCCGGCCAAUGCA